UACGUAGGGGGCAAGCGUUGUCCGGAAUCACUGGGCGUAAAGCGUGCGUAGGCGGUUUGUUAAGUCUGAAGUGAAAGUCCAAGGCUCAACCUUGGGAUUGCUUUGGAAACUGGCAGACUUGAGUACUGGAGAGGCAAGGGGAAUUCCACGUGUAGCGGUGAAAUGCGUAGAUAUGUGGAGGAAUACCAGUGGCGAAGGCGCCUUGCUGGACAGUGACUGACGCUGAGGCACGAAAGCGUGGGGAGCAAACAGG
rnacentral:rRNA from 1 species